UACGUAGGGCGCAAGCGUUAUCCGGAAUUAUUGGGCGUAAAGAGCUCGUAGGCGGUUUGUCGCGUCUGCCGUGAAAGUCCGGGGCUCAACUCCGGAUCUGCGGUGGGUACGGGCAGACUAGAGUGAUGUAGGGGAGACUGGAAUUCCUGGUGUAGCGGUGAAAUGCGCAGAUAUCAGGAGGAACACCGAUGGCGAAGGCGACACGCUGGGCCAUACCUGACACUGAUGCGCGACAGCAUGGGGAGCAAACAGG
rnacentral:rRNA from 1 species